UCUGGUUGAUCCUGCCAGUAGUUAUAUGCUUGUCUCAACGAUUAAGCCAUGCAUGUCUAAGUACACACGAAUUAAAAGUGAAACCGCAAAAGGCUCAUUAUAUCAGUUAUGGUUCCUUAGAUCGUUAACAGUUACUUGGAUAACUGUGGUAAAUCUAGAGCUAAUACAUGCAAUUAAAACACGGACCUUCUGGGACGUGUGCUUUUAUUAGACUAAAACCAAGCGAUCAAUUGAUCGUUAUAUUGGUUGAACUCUAGAUAACAUGCAGAUCGUAUGGUCUUGUACCGACGACAGAUCUUUUAAAAGUCUGCCCUAUCAACUUUUGAUGGUAGUAUCUAGGACUACCAUGGUUGCAACGGGUAACGGGAAAUCAGGGUUCGAUUCCGGAAAGGGAGCCUGAGAAACGGCUACCACAUCUAAGGAAGGCAGCAGGCGCGUCAAUUACCCACUCCCAGUUCGGGGAGGUAGUGACGAAAAAUAACAAUACAGGACUCAUAUCCGAGGCCCUGUAAUUGGAAUGAGUACACUUUAAAUCCUUUAACAAGGACCAAUUUGAGGGCAAGUCUGGUGCCAGCAGCCGCGGUAAUUCCAGCUCCAAUAGCGUAUGUUAAAGUUGUUGCGGUUAAAACGUUCGUAGUUGAUUUUGUGCUUCAUACGGGUAGUACAACAUAAAUUUGUAGUGAGUACUAUACCUUUAUGUAUGUAAGCGUAUUAUCGGUGGAGUUCUUAUAUGUAAUUAAGUACUUGUAUUUUUUUUAAAUAUUCCUCCUAUUUAAAAACCUACAUUAGUGCUCUUAAUGGAGUGUUUUUGUGGGCCGGUACAAUUACUUUGAACAAAUUAGAGUGCUUAAAGCAGGCUUCAAAAGCCUGAAUAUUCUGUGCAUGGGAUAAUGAAAUAAGACCUCUGUUCUGCUUUCAUUGGUUUUCAGAUCAAGAGGUAAUGAUUAAUAGAAGCAGUUUGUUAGUAUUACGACGCGAGAGGUGAAAUUCUUGGACCGUCGUAAGACUAACUUAAGCGAAAGCAUUUGCCAAAGAUGUUUUCAUUAAUCAAGAACGAAAGUUAGAGGUUCGAACGCGAUCAGAUUCCGCCCUAACCAUAAACGAUGCCAGCUAGCAAUUGAGUGUAGCUACUUUUAUGGCUCUCUCAGUC
rnacentral:rRNA from 1 species